UACGGGGGGGGCAAGCGUUGUUCGGAUUUACUGGGCGUAAAGGGCUCGUAGGUGGCCAACUAAGUCAGACGUGAAAUCCCUCGGCUUAACCGGGGAACUGCGUCUGAUACUGGAUGGCUUGAGUUCGGGAGAGGGAUGCGGAAUUCCAGGUGUAGCGGUGAAAUGCGUAGAUAUCUGGAGGAACACCGGUGGCGAAGGCGGCAUCCUGGACCGACACUGACACUGAGGAGCGAAAGCCAGGGGAGCGAACGGG
rnacentral:rRNA from 1 species